CCCUCUGACCCUCCCUCUCUUCCCCUGUUCAGAAAAGAGUUGUUGAGAAGGACAUUGAGGAUGUGGAUGGGCAGAAUGCGUUGGAGCAGGCCAGGGAUAAUAUUGUUGCGCUGGAAGACGCUCUCCGCAGGGCCAAGCAGGACAUGGCCCAUCAGGUCAGGGAGUACCAGGAACUGAUGAACCUCAAACUGGCCCUGGACAUCGAGAUCGCCACCUACAGGAAGCUACUGGGGGGAGAGGAGAUUAGAAUGAAUCACCAUAUACGUCAUCAAGAUUACUAAAACAAAUCGACCAAUCCCAGUUCUUGCUUACACGCAGACAUUGAUUUGCCUUCGAAGCCCCUCCUGACUCUGAAGCCCCUCCCAUUAGAUGCCGGUGGCCCCCCAACCAGCCCCAGGAAGCGUCUGCUGAUCAAAAUUGAGGUGGAGGCGGGCAGGGUCAUGUCCAAGAGCUUACACUACUCCGACAAUUAACCAAGUCCACCGUCACUCUGCUGUCGCUAUAGUAACACGGUGUUGUACCACUUUCUCUCUCUCUUUUCCAUCUAAAAAACAUUUGUUUUACAUUAAGGUCAUUGUUUAAUAAGCUACGGUUGUUAAAUCUACUAACUUUGUUUUCAACUGCAGUUCAAAGACCAUGUGCGACAGUAACAGGAGCUCUUACAAAAUGUGUCCUGUGCUCUUUUUCAUUACGUUUGUGGUGGGAGAAUUUAUCUGUGCUCUCUUGUGCUCAUGUGACUGGGAAGGCCAUGUCCUCCAAAGCUUGAAUGUCACUGAACCAGGUCCAAAAUAAAAAGAGAAAAUAUUAAGGA